rnacentral:rRNA from 1 species
AUGAAUGCUUAUUUGGGAGACUUCGGCAUUGCAAGCCUCAUCGGACAUUCAAGCUUAGUCACCUCAACUGGGCUAAAGGGAACGAUAGGGUACAUAGCUCUAGAGUAUGCUCAAAGUGGCCAGGCAUCAAUCCAUGGGGAUGUUUACAGUUUUGGAAUAGUACUCCUGGAGAUGCUCAUUGGCAAAAGACCGACAAACCCUAUGUUUGAGAAUGAAAUCAACAUGGUUAACUUUGUGGAGAGGAAGUAUCCAGAUAAGAUAAUACAUAUUAUUGAUGCACGCCUGCGUGGAGAAUGCAAGGGGUAUAUCCAAGCGAACAUUGGAACAGAAAUGCGGCAUAUGGAUGCCAGUUUGUCACUCAUGCAAGUCGCUCUUUCCUGUACAUGUCAAAUCCCAAGGGAAUGCAUGAACAUAAGAGAAGUAACCAAUAAGUUGCAUUCAAUCAGAACAUCAUACAUUAGAGCAACCAAGCGAGAGCAAGUCAUGCUUCGCUAG